UUGACCUCGGAUCAGGUAGGACUACCCGCUGAACUUAAGCAUAU
rnacentral:rRNA from 12 species